CUAUUAAUCUAAUUAAUAAAACUUUCUAAUUUUUGGUAUACUUAUUUAAAAGUAAAGCUGCUUUCGAUUGAUAUUAAUUAUUUGAAAAAGUUAAUUAAUUUGUUAAAAAUAUAAACAAUUUAAUUAAACAAAUAAAAAUAAUUUUAACUUCCCAAUCGAUUUUUCAGUUCUUUUUUGUUGCAUAUUACUCGUAAUUUAAUCUAGAAUCAUUUGCAAAAAGAAAAACUUGGUAACUUAUACUCGGUUAAUAGUAAUUAAAGAUUUUAUUCGAGCUUGCAGCAAAAUAUCUUGCGUGAACGACCGCCGCGGAGCCGUUUGAAAUGUUUAAAUAAACGAAGAUCGCAACUUGACAUAACCCUUUUUUAUCAUUGUCAUACAUUGUGUCGAAAAGUAUGGAUAAUUUUGCUGCACGCUCGAAUAAAAUCUUUAAUUACUAUUAAUCGAAUAUAAGUUACCAAGUUUUUCUUUUAGCAAAUGAUUCUAGAUUAAAUUACGAUUAAUAUGCAACAAAAAAGAACUGAAAAUCGAUUGGGAAGUUAAAAUUAUUUUUAUUUGUUUAAUUAAAUUGUUUAUAUUUUUAACAAAUUAAUUAACUUUUUCAAAUAAUUAAUAUCAAUCGAAAGCAGCUUUACUUUUAAAUAAGUAUAUCAAAAAUUAGAAAGUUUUAUUAAUUAGAUUAAUAGGAAAACAACUUUUUGUAUAUUUAAGCAAAAAAUGUUUGUAACAAUAACUUGUAUAAAUAUAAAAAUUUCGCAAAACUGUUCAAGUAGUAUUUUUUAUUUAUUAUUUUGAAUAGAAAAAUGUGAAUUUAAUAAAAUAAUUUCGACCUCUUAGAAAAUGUUGGCACACUUUACAAAUUUUGACUCCACUGACGUAUAAUUUUUGAAGACCUUCUACUUGAAUGCGCUGAUAAACAUUUUGACACAAAUAAAAAAACAUCAUUUUACUUUAUCAUCCCAUACGGAAAAUUCCUUUAAGGUUUCCUUACAGGUGUCUCCUAUGAACGUUGAAACAGGCAUCCUUUCAGGUUACCUACCAGGAUCCAUUGGUAGAUCCUACAUAAGGCACUGUAAGGAAUCCUUAAAGGAAUUUUCAGUAGGGUAAUCGACAUGAAAUUUCUGAGUAACAUUUAUAGUGGCUUUAUAAUUUGCAAAUUUCUAACAAUAAGUUUUUUGCUUUCCCGUCAAAUUAUAUUGUAUACUUUCAGAUAUGAAGAUUGCUGUUUAUUCUCCAAAAGAGGAUGAGCAAUCCCACAGUCUGCGGCUUAAAAUAGAUGCCAACUUGAGUUACAGCACCGAGUAUAGAAAAUAACUGGGGCAAUAGAGAAAGAACGGCUUUAAUUCCAUCCACAAAUCAAACAUUACAUGUAAACAGCUGUAUCAAAUUCUUUGAAGAAGAAAAAAUCAGAAUAUACCCGCAGACGUAAUCUUCGUUUUCAUCGUAAUAAUAAGUUAUGUACAGAAAAAAUUUACUUCCACCGAGAGUUUGUCUGUCUUGUUCAGAAAUUUCUUUUAAGUCUGACAUAUGAACAGGGUUACUCGGCAUUUGUCGUAGACGAUCACCAGAAAGUUGUUUCCGAAGAUUUGUCCGUUCAAGAAUCUUUGCCAGAAUUUUGAAAUUAUAAUAUUAUAUAAUUUCUUCAUAAAUCUUCAAAUUGAACUAAUUUAAAAUUGAAAAUAAAUUGAAUUUAAAUUGAAAAUUCAAUUUCCGGUUCAAUUAUUCUUAUUGAAAUUUUAAUUUUAUAGUUUUACUUAUUUAUUUCUUUUAUUAUUUUAAUGCCAUUACCCAAUCAGCACGAAAACUUGCAGCAAACUUGAAAGAAGCUUCACGUGCAAGAUGUGCAAGUUUGGUGCAAGUAACAAAAUGUCCUCUGUGGCAAGGUAUUUAAGCAAAUUUGCAUCAUACUUGCAAAAAGCUUGCAGUAAGCUUGUAUAAUAAUAAAAAAAAUUUUCGAAACAAUAUAUUAAUAAAUAAACAUAAAGGGCACCCUGCUUUAGAGGUUAAAAAAUUUAUUGCGCAGCCGUAGGAGCAUCCGUUUACAACUGCGCAUCGUAUUAAGUUUUGCAAACUUGCAGCAAGCUUGCGCCAACGUUGCCCUACAAGCUUGCCACAAGAGAACAUUUUGUUGCUUGCACCAAACUUGCUACAUGUUUGCACUGCAAUUUUGCACAUCUUGCACGGCAAGCUUCUUGCUAGUUUUUUGCAAGUUUUCGUGCUGAUUGGGUACUGAAAUCUACCUUAUGGAACGCAUCUAAGCUCUCAUUUUGGAGUAUGGAAAUGGGGCGAUUCCUUAGGCCGCUUGAAAAGAAAUCAAUUUUCUAAAUCGUAAGAUGUUGUUACUUGAGCGUGACAUUCUUUUUUAUUUUUAUAAUUCCAAUAUAUUCGACCCAAUUUUAUAUUUGACGAAUGUUUGGGGAUAGUUUUAUCUUGAUUAAACGUUUAUUUUUAAAUAUGUUAAAUCAGAAUCAGUUUUUAUUGAAUAUUUUUGAUCUAAUGAAGACUUAAAUGUAAGUGGUUUGUUUUGCACUUAAAAUCCCUUUCACCGUAGAACGUCACAUAUGAUUUUUAUAACUUUUAAUCACAAUUGCAUAUUUGUUAACUUAAUCCUUUCACAAAAAUCUUUUGUUAUAAAUUAAAAAUAAUUUUUCUGUUCUUUAGUUGCUGUUAAUUUGUUAAUAACUUUUUUUAUUUUUAGAUUAAACAAUUUCUGUCUCGAUAUUUUAUAAAAAAUAUAGAUAAAAGUGAUAUUUACAAAAAUUUAGAAGUAAAUGUAAAGAGCGCAAAAGUAGCAAGCAAAAUUUGUUAAAGGCAAAAACCAAACUCAAUUCUUCUUCCAGAAUAAAUAAAUAAUACAUAUUAAUUGUAAAAAUAACAUAUCAGUAAUGUAAUGUUAAAAUUUUAAUGGCGUACAUACUUUUGAAACUAUAAAUUAAAAAUGAACAUCUACUGUUUACAUUUAUUCCAAAUGACUCCAUAAUUAAUGAUUUUUAAAGUCGGACGCUAUAGGUAAUGUUAGUAAAUGUUGGUAGUGUAAAUUUAUUGUAUACAUUUAAUAUGUCCUUUUAAUAAAACUAUUUUUAUAACAAUAAUAAGCUGAGUAGUGAUUUAUAAGUAAAUUUGUUUGUCUAUUUUUAUUUUGAAUAAAAGUUUUGCUAGAUAAACUUAAAAAUGGAAUCUUACUCACUCCUAUCAUAAUACAUAAAUUUGCGUUUCAGCAGCAUCCAGAUUUCGAGCCUUGGAUUCCAGAUGUUUCAACAGAACGGCCUUGAUCAA